rnacentral:rRNA from 1 species
GACGAACGCUGGCGGCGUGCCUAAUACAUGCAAGUAGAACGCUGAAGGAGGAGCUUGCUUCUCUGGAUGAGUUGCGAACGGGUGAGUAACGCGUAGGUAACCUGCCUGGUAGCGGGGGAUAACUAUUGGAAACGAUAGCUAAUACCGCAUAACAGUAGAUGUUGCAUGACAUUUGCUUAAAAGGUGCAAUUGCAUCACUACCAGAUGGACCUGCGUUGUAUUAGCUAGUUGGUGGGGUAACGGCUCACCAAGGCGACGAUACAUAGCCGACCUGAGAGGGUGAUCGGCCACACUGGGACUGAGACACGGCCCAGACUCCUACGGGAGGCAGCAGUAGGGAAUCUUCGGCAAUGGACGGAAGUCUGACCGAGCAACGCCGCGUGAGUGAAGAAGGUUUUCGGAUCGUAAAGCUCUGUUGUAAGAGAAGAACGAGUGUGAGAGUGGAAAGUUCACACUGUGACGGUAUCUACCAGAAA